rnacentral:tRNA from 1 species
GAGGGUGUAGCUUGGUAGUAGAACACUUGUCUAGCAUGCAUGAGGCCCUGGGUUCAAUUCCCAGUACCUUCA